rnacentral:rRNA from 1 species
UAAACCAGGAUUAGAUACCCUAUUAUAUUUAAACAAAUUGGGUAGUAUUAUUAAUAAAAACCUUUAUACUUUGGCGGCAUUUUAUCUUAUUAGAGGAAUAUGUUCAUUAAUCGAAACCACACGAUAGUUUUUACUUACUAUAAAAUUUUAUAUACCCCCGUCUAAAGAAUUUAUUUAAAAUUUUUAUUCCAAAUUAUAUUAAAAAAAGUUAGGUAAAGGUGUAGACUAUUAGUAAGAUUAAAUGUAUUACAUUAAAAAAAAAUUUAAGGAUAAAACAGUUAACUGUUUAUUAAAAGAGGAUUUAUAAGUAAUUUACUUUUAAUAAAAAUUAAUGAAUAAGAAAAUAAAUGUGCACAUAUCGCCCGUCACUCUCACAUAUAAACCAGGAUUAGAUACCCUAUUAUACAUAUCGCCCGUCACUCUCA